AUUGAACGCUGGCGGCAGGCUUAACACAUGCAAGUCGAGCGAGCCGCGGACGGGUGUGUAAUGUCUGGGAAAUUGCCUGAAGGAGGGGGAUAACUAAUGGAAAUGGUAGCUAAUACCGCAUACCAUCAUAUGUUCCCAGCUGGGAUUAGCUAGGAGGUGGGGUAAUGGCUCCCCUAGGCGACUAUCCCUAGCUUGUCCGAGAGGAUGACCGGCCACACUGGAACUGAGACACGGUCCAGACUCCUACGGGAGGCAGCAGUGGGGAAUAUUGCACAAUGGGCGCAAGCCUGAUGCAGCCAUGCCGCGUGUGUGAAGAAGGCCUUCGGGUUGUAAAGCACUUUCAGCGAGGAGGCGUUACUCGCAGAAGAAGCACCGGCUAACUCCGUGCCAGCAGCCGCGGUAAUUC
rnacentral:rRNA from 1 species